GGAAUAGGAGAAGGAUCCAAGGUGUAAUAUUUAGUGCUGGCAGACAUACCUACAGACGACCCCCGCACGGAACAACAACGACUUAUGUGCCUCAGACAGUCAGUUCUCCUACUGCUGUGUCAAUGGUAUCCCGAAGCAGCGCAUGUGUGACGGCUUCAAUGACUACUGCAGUAACGGAGAGGCGAGGAGAUGGCCUUGCUUUUGUCACUCUGGAUGAGUCUGUGCAGCUGUGUGGCACUGACGAGUGUCGGGAGAAGAAUAUCGGGUGUGAGCCCCUGUGCAUUAACACUCGAGAGUCAUACUACUGCCAGUGCCGGCCAGGAUACUGACUCGUCAGGAAGUUCAACUGUGAAGACGUUGACGAGUGCGUGGAGUCGCCCAGAUCCUCUCCAUGAGGGAACAUCCAUUUUCACUCUACAGAUGUUUGUCAGGUUUCUGAAGAUGCGUCGACGUGUUAGCAUCCACACAAGCUUCCCCAACCCACCCAGUGUACCACAAGAUAACGGGCACUGAGGUGGACAGGAGCGCGCGGCUGCAAGCACCGCGCGGUAUACGAGGGCGCUAAGAAGUUUACCAUAUGAAAGGUGUGGUGCGCGUGGGCCGGCACAUGUUGCCGUACGCAAGUGUGCACGUGUAGCGACCUGACAAGUGUGUAGAGAACCACCGAAGACGACACACGACAGAGGGAAAGGGAAUCGGAUAAGCGCCUGACAACACGUAUAUCUCACGCCCACGCCCACGCCCACGCUCGUGCUACGUGGGUCCGUAGGCGUGUAGGUCGGGUAGGGUGUGUCGUCAGGGACCGACCGUCCAGUUGACACGACACAGUAGGCUAAUAUUGGCUAUGCAAUUGAUAAAACCGUUGUGUCCCUCGCCUAUCACUAACACACUCCUUUUCAUGAGGGCGAAGGUUGGCAGGAGCAGGUACUGGCAGUGGUUGUAGUGGUGGUGGUGGUGGUGGUGGUAUUUAUAUGCUUGUGUGAAGAUAGAUGGAUUUGAUGGGUUGAUAGAUAUGUAAAUGGACAGUUGGAUAAACAAACAGAUAGAUGGAUAGGUAGGCAGAUAGAUAAGUCAAUGAAUUCCUAUAUAAUUAACAAGUUAAAAGUGUAUGUUUAUAGAAAAAUAUCUAUAUUCCUCUAUUUAGUAUCCUUUCACCCUGGUUUAUUGUUAGAAAUACUCGUAUAACAGGUGGUAGAAUUAGAGAAUGAGAGAAAUACUAUAGUCCACCUUUUAGGCACCUUGACACUCGUUCCGCAGGAGCUGCCAACACUCGCUGUACAACUAGAUACUACUUAACAUUUCCUGCUCUGACAAAUAACCAUAGCUGGACACGGUAACGAAGAGAAAGAUGUCACAAUAACCAAUAAAACGACAUGUGGUAUUUGCAUAAGUAUAGUGUCUCAUUAAUAAGAGAUUUAGUAACAGAUAGUUAUCAUAAACAUUUACACAUACGUACUACUGCCUUCGCAAAGAACCUCCUGCUACGGCAGUAGUCUGUUGAUGAUGGGUGGUGGUGGUGGUGUCAUUUGUGGCGGUUGGCUAUAUUGAUGGUGGUGGUGACAACAUUUGUGGCGGUGGCCUAUACUGACCCAUGCACACCCAAACCCCCAAACACACACACACAAGUAAAAUAAAAAAAGUGAAAUGUUACUGUAUUACCGACAGUUCUUAAGCAGCGCCAAGCAUCAAGCACCAAGCGGCAUGACAGCAGUGCCUUCACCAUAACCUUCCACACUGCCUCAUCUUCGUCUGUUAAAGGUCAGCUCGGAGCAACCUACCCUGCACUGAAUACAGACCCAGAGCAGAAAGACGGAGAUCCUCACUAUUUUAAUUACCACAUAAGUUUUUGAAAGAGUGUUAGAUCACCAAAUAGUAAGCAGAAUUAAUAUGAAAAUGCAUCCUGGUACUGAAGGGGUUAAGUGAAAUCUAGGCAAGUUACGUACAUUUCUUUAGGGGAUAAGGUUAACAUGGGGAGUUGACACUACAUAGAGGCUGUAUACGAGGCUGCCCAGGCCUUGCUACUGCCUGCCACAAUAGGUGCUGUGCUAAUGGCUGCCACCUGCUUCCUGCCUCACCUGGCCAAGUAAGAAGACAAAGCUGAGUUGACCCCUCAGGAGAUGUGAAAAGUCAAGACAAGUGGCUUUCCUUCAAAGGCUAAGACAAGCAAUGGCAAGUGGAACCUGAUAAUUUUAUCUUGAAAUGAUGCUGGGUUGCUGGCUUGGAUGAAGAAGUUGCAGAGGCGAGCCAGCAAUGUGGGCCAAAGCUGAGGAGAACAGGAAGAUCCACACCAAGCUGAAGGAAGGAUAUGACUGGAGGAAGGAUUGAAAGUAACAUCCUGCUGCUGACACAUCUUACUGUUGCUCAGGAUCAGCAAUGUUUCCCGUGAUCAUGGAGGGCAAGAUCGAGGACAAUGUGGACCUUAACUUACAGUGAGUGAGCAGUACUGGACCAAAGGAAAGGAGAAAAUCGGGCAGCAAUGAGAAGAGGGGCACAAGUGAGGGAGGCAUUGAGAUGGAGAAGAGGAUGGAGAAUACAAUGAAGAUGAUGAAACAUAAAAGAAAAAAGAUGUAGAAUCAAACCACUUGGAGAAGGACGAUAGGUUAUGUUCACCAGGAGAGGAUGCAGCGGAACACCCCAAGAUGACGUACUCCUGCCGGGAAAGCAAUGACCAAGUGCAUAUGAUGGCACAUACCAACAGACUGCCGGUGACCCUCUCUUUCAGGCACCAUGUAUUAGCACCCCACCAGGAGAUUACACAGUUGCUGUCUGGAUUGCCACCAUUACCACUAGCACCACCCUUCAGACCAAUACACUAAGAGGCAGACUGCACUACCACCACCCUGAAGAAACCAAUGCAUAGCAGCCUUUACCACCACCCAGAUUGGAAGUCUGGAAAAGCAAACGCCAUAACUCUGCCGGUCGUGUGUGUUUGAGGCAAGUGAAAUUAGGUUUGAUAGAUAUUCUGAGUAAAUAUGUAGAGUAUUCACCAUCAUUUCAGUCACCUGUAAUAGGCUAAUCGGGUGUUGUGAGUCACCAUGGGAUGGCAAAUGUAAUUACCUAUUCUUUGAUCAGGAGAGUGAAAUGUUGGUAAGUGAUAACAGGUGAGCUGCUUAUCAAUGGUUCACACAUCCCACAAAAUCAUAAAGGAAGCUACAAGAAGCCAUCAGCCCUACACUUGGCAGUUCUUGUAUCUGUUAUCACCCAUCUUUUUAUUUAUUUAUUUUAUUUUAAGUUUUUAUGUCGUUUUCAUAUUCUAUUAGGGGUAAGACAGUGUCUCGUAACAGAGGACUUUGAAUUUGGGAUAUGGGAACUUUUACCCCAAGUGGACGCCCUUCCUAACCUUGGAUUUGAACCCAUUUGCUUGAGGACCCUGCAGCCCCAUCCAUAAAUGUGUGUAAUCUUUUUAAAUCUCUCUGAUGACUAUGAACCACAAUCUGAUUACUGUUCCAUUCAUUGACCACAGUUUGCAAGAACACUACCACUAUAAUCAACAUCAGGAGCAGAUAGGGACUCGCAGAAGAGGAUGUGGUGAUGCCUUGGUGAAAGAUAAGGAGAUCUGAGAUUUGGGUGUGACUGUCAACACUGUCUGACAAACUGGAUAGUGUGUGUGUGUGUGUGUGUGUGUGUGUGUGUGUGUGUGUGUGUGUGUGCGUGCGUGCGUGCAUGUUUGUCAUGGUGGUACGUACCUCACUGUUGCAUCCUUACCUCAUUACAGUGUUGUGCAGCUCCAGGGAGUUCCAGAGUUUGCCAAAGAAAGGAAUGAAUGAUUGAGAAUACUGGUUAACUUGUAUUAAGGGUGAGAAAAAAAAAGUUGUGCAGUAAGGCCACAAGAGCGAGGGAGGCAUGCAGUUAGCAAGAUCAAAAGAGCAGUUGACAUGAAAAUAGAAGAUAGCAAGGGAUGCAUAUCAUUAAAGAAAGAGGCUGAAGACAGUCAGUGAAAGGAAGGCAGUUAAGACAAAAAGCUUUUGAUUCCAUCAUGUCUAGAAGAGCAGUAUGAGUGUAACUCCAUACAUGUGAAGCAUACUCCAUAAGGGCCCUGCUUAGAAUUGACAGUUGGCAGGGAUGAGAAAAACUGUUGGAGAUGUUUCAGUUUGUAAUCAUCCUCCUGAUGGUGAUGAUGAUGGUGAUGACAUUGAGUGAGAUGGUGAGGGAAUGACAUAAUGGCAUUUUGAAGAUACAAACAACUGCUGAGAGAGAGAGAGAGAGAGAGAGAGAGAGAGAGAGAGAUGCAAUGCUCUUUUACCAUAUUAACUUUCCUUUUCCAGUAGUUAAUGUCAAUAGUCAGAGGUCUUGUUUUAGAGGUUACUUUAUGUAUAUUGUCUAGAAAUUACUACAACUAUUACUGUCUAUUUAUCAGUUUCUGUCACUGUUGUUUUAUGACAGAAUAAUAAACAUUUUCUGAAACUACUGUGUA